rnacentral:rRNA from 1 species
UACGGAGGGUGCAAACGUUGCUCGGAAUCAUUGGGCGUAAAGCGCACGUAGGUGGCUUGUUAAGUCGGGUGUGAAAUCCCUGGGCUCAACCCAGGAAGUGCACUCGAAACUGGCGAGCUUGAGUACUGAAGAGGGUCGCGGAAUUCCCGGUGUAGAGGUGAAAUUCGUAGAUAUCGGGAGGAACACCGAGUGGCGAAGGCGGCGAGCCUGGGCAGGAU